AUUCAUUUUCCAAAAUAUCUCUCUCUCAAACAGAACCAUGCUCUGCAACUUUCUUCGUAUUCUCUGAACAACCUUCGUCAGAGAAGCGGCGGCGCGCAGCGGCUUCCACCGUCUUCUCCGGUGACCAACUUCCCCAAACUACAAAAAUUCAAACACCGAGCCCAACCUUUUUUGGCCAAGGAUCACAGAUACGGCCUCAGUUCACUCAAAUACUCCACUGAACCCUCUGAUCGGAGCCCUAAAAACUCAAACUAAACAAACUCAACUGUAUCUCAAACCCUACUACCACUACGUAUCAAAAAAACAUAUUGAAUAAGAAGGCAAGCGAAAUCACAAAAUAAAACCCUAAAUCAACCACCCCAAAUCAGAUGGAGGUAAAACACAUAAUGAAACAAUUAUGAUGGGGACUCUACUCAAUUUAUCCAAGAUAACACGAAGGCACGAAUUUCAAACAAAAAGAAAAGAAGAGUUAUCUGGCCGAAGUUUUUUCGAUGGCGUUUCUUCCGGCGACUCUCAGAUAAGUACUCGUUUCCUUUAACCUCUUACUUCCUCUUCUUCUCAUCUUCUGUCGGUGUUAUUUCUAAUUGAAUUAAACUCAACUAUCUUAAUGUUUCAUUGUGAAACUCUAAGAAGUUUUUUUUUUGAGAUUUUUGUUUUACUCGUGUGAGAAAUGAUGAGGUACCCUUCGAGGGAACGUUUCCGUUAUGAGGGUUUCCUCAAAUCCCUGAAUUCACGGGAUUUUUGUCAGUGGGAGUGAAACGCAACCAAAUUUUUGUUUAAGAUGCUUUCUGCUUUGUUUGUACGCUGCUGAUUUUUUUCAAUUAUGGUCCCCUCUUAUACCUUAUGUAUGUAUUGCUGCAGUUAUGCGGAUGAUAUAUGUAAGUGCAAAUUUGGAAUGUACGUUGAUGUGUGUUUAUGGAUACACGGAUUGAUAGCAUGAUGAAGAGAAUUAUGUGGGAAAACUUGGGAUCCUCUUCCUAUUUUCAUGUUUUAAACUAGUGUUCCCUUUUAAAAUCGAAAUCCCCUUUGUAUUUGUACUCUUCAACAAGGACGAUGCAAUAUGCUUAUGAGGAAAAAAAGCUCUCUCUUUUUUGUAAUUUUCAAUGUAUGGUUUGAGUGUAAUAAACAAAAAUACCUUAUUUCA